rnacentral:rRNA from 1 species
GACGUAGGGCGCAAGCGUUGUCCGGAAUUAUUGGGCGUAAAGAGCUCGUAGGCGGUCUGUUACGUCCGCUGUGAAAACUCGGGGCUUAACCCCGAGCCUGCAGUGGAUACGGGCAGACUAGAGGUAGGUAGGGGGAGAAUGGAAUUCCCGGUGUAGCGGUGAAAUGCGCAGAUAUCGGGAGGAACACCGGUGGCGAAGGCGGUUCUCUGGGCCUUACCUGACGCUGAGGAGCGAAAGCGUGGGGAGCGAACAAG